CUUGGUUGAUCCUGCCAGUAGUCAUAUGUUUGUCUCAAAGAUUAAGCCAUGCAUGUCUCAAUACAUGCCGAAUUAAGAUGAAACAGCGAAUGACUUAUUAAAUCAGUUAUGGUUCAUUAGACCGUGAACACAUUUACUUAGAUAACUGUGAUAAUUCUAGAGCUAAUACAUGCAAAUUUCAUCAGAAUUUCUUUCAGAAUUUCUCUCAAAGAUGGGAGAAAUGCUUUUAUUAAAUCAAAACCAAUUGGUGGCGAAUGGCUCGUCCAUUCGUCCAUCGUUUGUUUUGGUGACUCUGAAUAAUUUUAUCCUGAUCGCAUAGUUAUCUAGCACCGGUGACGCAUCUUUCAAAUAUCUGCCUUAUUAACUGUCGAUAGUAGAUUCUGGGCCUACCAUGGUUGUAAUGGGUAACGGAGAAUCAGGGUUCGAUUCCGAAGAGGGAACCUGAAAAACAGCUAUUAUAUUCAAGAAAGGCAGUAGGCGCGCAAAUUAUCCACUUACGGCACAGUGAAGUAGUAACGAAAAAUAACGAUACGGGAUUCAUCCGAGGCUCCGUAAUGGGAAUUUAAAUCCUUUCCAUUUUAAAUCCUUUAACGGACCAAUUAGAGGGCAAAUCUGGUGCCAGCAGCCGCGGUAAUUCCAGCUCCAAUAGCAUAUAUUAAAGUUGUUAUGGUUAAAAACAUAGUUAAAUCUGUAUGUCACAGUGUCGGUUCAUAGUAUCGGUGGACUUACCUCCUUGCGGGCGGUCCAACUAAUAUCCCAUCGCGGUGCUCUUCAUUGAGUGUCGAGGUAGGCAAAUACGUUUACUUUGAAAAACUUAGUGCUUAAAGCAGGUUAUCUCUCUGUUUGCAUAAAUAAUGGAAUGGGACUUCAGUUCUAUUUUGUUUCGAAACUUCGAGGUAAUGAUUAAUAGGGAUAGAUAGAGACAUUCAUAUUGCGAUGCUAGAGGUGAAAUUCUCGUCGCAAGACGCAUGGAAGCGAAAGCAUUUGCCAAAAAUGUUUACAUUAAUCGAGAACGAAAGUUAGAGUUUCGAAGGCGAUCAGAUACUGUCUUAGUUCUAACCAUAAAUGAUGCCAGUCAGCGAUCCGCUGAAGUUCCUCCGAUGACUCGGCGGGCAGCUUCCGGGAAACCAAAACUUUUGGGAAGUAUGGUUGCAAAGCUGAAACUUAAAGGAAUUGACGGAAGGGCACCAUCAGAAGUGGAGCCUGCGGCUUAAUUUGACUCAACACGGAAAAUUAGAAUUAAUACACACAGAAUUAAAUUACACAUACACACACACACACACACACACACACACACACACACACACACACACACACACGCACGCACGCACGCACGCACAUAUAUAUAAUUAUUGAUAGCAAUUAC
rnacentral:rRNA from 1 species